CCUCCCCACCCCACCCCCUCACCCACCCAACCCCAUCAUAAACCCACCCCCACACCUGUUCUGCCUCAGGUAGGCCCGGUUUUUACUUUUCUGCACUCUGCAAUCCCCCCAAAACCAGUCCAUCUGAGCGGGGUUUCGUGGUAAAGCUAAAGAUUUUGCCGCCUUAUACCAGACUAAAGGCGUCUUAAGUGUCUUUUUUUGGUUUUGUUUAGUAUUUGUGUGAGUGUGUACUUGUGUGUGAGUGUUGUGUGUGUGCCGUGUGAAUGUGUGUGUGGUUUGAAAGCAGCAGUAUGUAGGCUGGUGGUUCUUUUUUUGGGAAUGUUGAUGUUUUUAUUUUUGUUCAGCCCCUCCGUGUGUGACGCUGUGAAUGCUUUCUGUGUUCCCCAUGAAUAACGGAGAGAAAGCAGCGCGAGGGCUGGCAGAUGCUUGCAGCCAACCCCCGUGCGGCGGCUUUGAAGAUGUGAGUUUGCCCCAAAAUCUCUUCAUCUGCUGCACAGGCCUAUAGCCACUGACUGGAGGUGUUCUGUGUGUCCAGCUAGGACACCAACGGGUCCGGUAACCACCUCAUGUGUCUCUUUCUGUAGACCAACACUUCUGUCUACUGUCAAAUCACAACCUUUUUACUGCUGUUUU